rfam:Flavobacterium sp. 40-81 scnpilot_p_inoc_scaffold_451, whole genome shotgun sequence.
UAAGCGGAACCCGAAAAGCUUACAGAGUAGGGA